rnacentral:rRNA from 1 species
UCUUAAAGAUUAAGCCAUGCAAGUGUAAGUACGGCCCUACUCUUCGAGGGGGCGAGACUGCGGACGGCUCAUUAAAUCAGUUAUGAUUCCCAGGAGCCAGAACCACUUACUUGGAUAACUGUGGCAAUUCUAGAGCUAAUACAUGCACUUCAAGCUCCACCUGCCCCGUUCGCGGGGCGGGAGGUUGCGCACCUGUUAGCCUCGAAAGGCGGUGGCUUCGGCCCCGUCGAAAGGAGAUGAAUUCUGGACAGCUUUGCCGAUCGCACGGCCUUUUGAGCCGGCGACGUACCUUUCAAGUGUCUGACCUAUCAUACUAGAUGGUUUGCGAUCUGCGCACCAUGGUUGCAACGGGUGACGGGGAAUCAGGGUUCGAUUCCGGAGAGGGAGCAUGAGAAACGGCUGCCACAUCCAAGGAAGGCAGCAGGCACGCAACUUACCCAAUGCCGACACGGCGAGGUAGUGACGAAAAAUACCAAUACGGGAGCCGCUACACGCGGUCCCGCAAUUGAAAUGAGUACACUCUAAAUCCUUUAACGAGGAUCUAUUGGAGGGCAAGUCUGGUGCCAGCAGCCGCGGUAAUUCCAGCUCCAAUAGCGUAUGUCAAUGCUGCUGCGGUUGAAACGCUCGGAGUUGGAUCUCGGUGACGGGCCGACGGUCUCGCUCUCGGAGCGAUGCACGGUCGGCGAUAGGGGAGGGUUUAACCGCUCUCCCUUGCCUCCGUCCCUCUGUCCGGAAUGUAUUUGUCCUAGCCCGGGUGCUCUUGACUGAGUCGCUCGGUGCCUGGCCGGACGCUUCACUGUGAAAAAAUUAGAGUGCUCAAAGCAGGCCUCAGUGCCGGUAUAUCGCUGCAUGGAAUGAUAGAGAAGGACCUCGGCGCGUGCCCUCUGGGUGCGGCGCACGAGGUAAUGAUUAAGAGGGACUGCCGGGGGCAUACGUACUGCGGCGCGAGAGGUGAAAUUCUGUGACCGUCGCAGGACGAGCUAAAGCGAAGGCAUUUGCCAAGAAUGUCUUCAUUAAUCCAGAACGAAAGUCAGAGGCUCGAAGACGAUCAGAUACCGUCGUAGUUCUGACCGUAAACUCUGCCUACUGGCAAUCCGCCGACGGUAUCUCAACGACUCGGCGAGCGGCCUACGGGAAACCAAAGUGUUUGGGUUCCGGGGGGAGUACGGUCGCAAGGCUGAAACUUAAAGGAAUUGACGGAAGGGCACCACCAGGAGUGGAGCCUGUGGCUUAAUUUGACUCAACACGGGAAACCUCACCCGGUCCGGACACUGGUAGGAUUGACAGACUAACGCUCUUUCUUAAUUCAGUGGGUGGUGGUGCAUGCCCGUUCUUAGUUGGUGGAGUGAUUUGUCUGGUUAAUUCCGAUAACGAACGAGACUCUUGCCUGCUAAAUAGUUCGGGGACCUAGGUCCGUCCGCUCUGCGGGGGACCUGCUUCGGGUCACUCGAUCGCUCUACGGAGCCAACUUCUUAGAGGCACAAGUGGCGCUUAGCCACACGAAACGGAGCAAUAACAGGUCUGUGAUGCCCUUAGAUGUCCGGGGCCGCACAUGCGCUACAAUGGCUGCAUCAGCGCGAGUCUCUCCUGAAAGGGCGAGGAAACCGCUCAACCGCAGUCCCGGUUGGGAUUGGGGGCUGCAAGUGUCCCCCAUGAACACGGAAUUCCUAGUAGGCGCCAGUCAUCAGCUGGCGUCGAUUGAGUCCCUGCCCUUUGUACACACCGCCCGUCGCUACUACCGAUCGCUCUCGUUAAUGAGCCCGUCGGAUUGGACCCGGUGGGGCGCGUUCGCGUGCCCCGCGUCCUGGUGUUUGCCGAGAAGAUGGGCGAAUUAUCGGGAGUAGAGGAAGUAAAAGUCGUAACAA